rnacentral:rRNA from 1 species
GAUGAACGCUGGCGGCGUGCUUAACACAUGCCAGUCGAACGAAGCACUUAAGGUUGAUUCUUCGGAUGACGUCUUUUGUGACUUAGUGGCGGACGGGUGAGUAACGCGUGGGUAACCUGCCUCACACAGGGGGAUAACAGUUAGAAAUGACUGCUAAUACCGCAUAACCCGAUAGGAUCGCAUGAUCCAGACGGAAAAGAUUUAUCGGUGUGAGAUGGACCCGCGUCUGAUUAGCUAGUUGGUGAGGUAACGGCCCACCAAGGCGACGAUCAGUAGCCGGCCUGAGAGGGUGAACGGCCACAUUGGGACUGAGACACGGCCCAAACUCCUACGGGAGGCAGCAGUGGGGAAUAUUGCACAAUGGGGGAAACCCUGAUGCAGCGACGCCGCGUGAGUGAAGAAGUAUUUCGGUAUGUAAAGCUCUAUCAGCAGGGAAGAAAAUGACGGUACCUGACUAAGAAGCCCCGGCUAACUACGUG